rnacentral:rRNA from 1 species
CCGGGGCCGCACGCGCACUACAUUGAAGGAGUCAGCGUGUGUUCUCCCCGUCCGAUACGACAGGGUAACCCGUUGAACCUCCUUCGUGCUUGGGACAGGGACUUGAAACUGUGACCCUCUAACGAGGAAUUCCCAGUAAGCGCGAGUCAUUAGCUCGUGCUGAUUAAGUCCCUGCCCUUUGCACACACCGCCCGUCGCUACUACCGAUUGGAUGGCUCGGUGAGGCCUUCCGACCGGCAUUCCUGAUCGAUUCCUGUGACGGUGCUUGCGGGGAAAAAGCCCUAACCCGGUCAUUUAGAGGAAGUAAAAGUCGUAACAAGGUUUCC